rnacentral:lncRNA from 1 species
CCAGAGUGGGUGCCUCUAGAGAGGGGUGGGGCUGGCUGGUCAAUCCCUGGCAUCUCUCUUCUUAGGGACACCAAAUAGAAGCUAUCGGAUGCAUGUAUAAGUCUUGCAAUAAACCCCAUGGUCCUACCUGAAUCAUCAAACUACCCUGGUAUGAAGGACAAAAGGCCUAUGCGACCUCACAUGUUGACAAGGCGGAGUUACCAGAGCUUGGCAUUACCUGGGUGCACCCACCAGUGCUUUCUCUGCAGUUGCUCAUGUUCCAUUCAAAAAAGGAGGUCACCUUGGAAAAAGAGAAGCUUUUUGAAUACAGCCCUAAGGACAGUCGAGGAGUUGGCCAAGGAGCUCUAUGGAGACACAGGUAAUCUAUGCUUUGUGAGUUAUAGAGAAAUAUGGACAAUAGAAUGGAGGUUGGUAUUUGAAUCUUCAGCCUUAUGGACCAGUAAGAUGGAUUCUUUUUCAGAGCUCAUUUCUGGAAACGCUGGUUUCAGCCCAGAGGGACAAGAUCACAGGCCAGAAAGGGCUUUGGGCUGAAGCUUCAUCCAGUGAGACGCCUUCCCCUUCUCUUCCCCCACCUUUCUAAUAAUGGAAUGGACCGUGGAUCUGCCUUGCUCUGGAAAAGCAUAGCAUGCUAGAGCUAUUCCUCUAUUUACCUGUCCUACCUCAAAAGUGUUUAUAAUCGUCUGCUUUCCCCUUCUUGAUUUCAGUCUAGAGAAUCUGCAGCUUUGAUACAAGGCAGAGGUUGGGGGUGAGGGUGAGGGUGGGGAGGGAGAACCCCUCCCUCCAUUCUCACUCUCUUGUUAUUCUUCUCCUAAUUGAACCACAGUAAAUUCAGAUAGGCACCGUUUUUCCUGACAUUUCUAUAAGUGUGGACUUUAACAAUUCCUUUUUAAUUGUCAUGGUGUUUUCUAAAACCAACUGUUGCAUCUUUUGUCACUAUGUUCAGAAAGCAGUUAUGUACAGAGGAAAGAGGGCUGGGCCUUAAUCCUGAGUUGUGGGUAGUGUUGCCCUAGGCCUCAGGUACUCCUUACUGUUAUUUUCUGAGUUCUGUCCAGGGGCUCAACCUCAGGGACUCCUCUCCUCCCCUAAGCCAUGGUCAGAAAAGAUGGAUUCUAAUCCCAUCUCAAUAGUUCUCAAUAGUGUGACCUUGGCAGCUCCCUUUUGUCUCACUCCUCUGAGUUUCCUCAUCUCUAGUAUGUAGGUACUACUAAUCCCCCAAGGUUAUUGUGAAAAAAAAAACCCACUGUAUAAAAAUGAUGUGAUUGUUUCAUACCAGCUUUUGUGUUUUAAAUAAUAGUUAUAGAUUCCCAAAACUUGUUGCCUUCUUUCUUUUUCUAAAAGGCUGCUCAAAAUUUAUUAGUGUCUGGUGAGG